GAAUUUUAUAUUUAUUUAGAUUUAGAUAAUUUUAAUAAAUAUUUUAUUGGGAGGAUGAUUAAAUUUAGCUAACUUUAAUUUUAAAAUACAUUGAUUAAUGAUAGAUUAAUUUAAAAAUGAAUAAUUAAUAAUUAAUAAAGAAUUAAUUACCUUAGGGAUAACAGCAUAAUAUUUUUUAGUAGUUCAUAUAUAAAGAAUUGUUUAU
rnacentral:rRNA from 1 species